CACUCUCAAGCGCGGCUUGGAUUUGAAUCACUGUUGCGGCAGGAUUCCAAUAGUGUCGGCAAUUGACCAUCUGUGAUGACUCACAUCGAGUUGAUUCGCCUGUCUACUUCUUUC
rnacentral:misc_RNA from 1 species